ACUUUCUUCCUCUCAUCGACGUUGAAGACCGCCAAGGCCAGAGUUCAACACCGACUAGACCUCCUUCCUCUCCCCAUGGCUUCACUCUUCUUUGGAUUUGGGCUCCAGUUUCGGCUUUCUGAGCAUUUGAUUUCCUCAUCUUCUCAAUCUCACCCGCAGGAACAUGGACUUCAUUUUGGAAGGGAGAGGAAGAUACGAAGUUAGGGUUUCGCGUUUCUGGAUUAGCAAAACCCACUGUUCGCUCCAUUCGCUCCAACGGUUCUGGAUUAGCAAAACCCAUCAUGUUUCUGGGUUUCGCAUUUCUGGAUUACCCUCCAAUGGUUCUCAUAUCAGCCCCAUUGUUCGCAACUCCGUUUGUAAUGCUAUUUUGAAGAUUGUGGGAGGUUGUUAUGAACAUGGUUUGGUUUUGGGUCCAGCAAUUUGGAUUCCUAUCAGCUUGUAUUUGCAGAUUACCAAUUACUAUGGUUCAUUACCCUUGCCAUUGUCAUUCUGCAGAUUAAUGGGUUGAUUUGCAAAUAUAAGAUUGGCUUUAAAAUUGUUUUGAGGUUGUAAUUGGCAGGUCUAAAAUUCUGAUUUAGAAGUGAAGAUGUGUAAUGAAAUUUAGACUAACCAGGUAUAGUGUAAUACUCUGUAAAGUCGUAGAACUGAAUCAAAAACUGUGUUUACAAAGUCACUUGUGAUGGUACUCGGAAACUAUGUUUUGUUCUUUGCUCCUUGGAAGCUUUCUUUCACCCAUAGAAAAAGGAAGAUUGGGUGGAUGCAAAUAAGCAUGUAUGUUUUGUCAAAUACAUGGUUUCCAUUUUUCGUUUUCUAAUGAUGGAUCUUUUGGUGC